UGUGGUGAAGUGGUUAACACACCAGAUUGUGGCUCUGGCAUGCGUGGGUUCGAUCCCCAUCACUCGCCU
rnacentral:tRNA from 1 species